rnacentral:misc_RNA from 1 species
GAUGAAGAACGCAGCGAAAUGCGAUACUUGGUGUGAAUUGCAGAAUCCCGUGAACCAUCGAGUUUUUGAACGCAAGUUGCGCCCGAAGCCUUUUGGCCGAGGGCACGUCUGCCUGGGCGUCACGCAUCGCGUCGCCCCCCCACAAUUCUCCGUAAAGGGAACUUGUGUUUUGGGGGCGGAUAUUGGUCUCCCGUGCUCAUGGCGUGGUUGGCCGAAAUAGGAGUCCUUUCGAUGGACGCACGAACUAGUGGUGGUCGUAAAAACCCUCGUCUUUUGUUUCGUGCUGUUGCUCGCAAGGUAAACUCUUUAAAAACCCCAAUGUGUCGUCUCUUGACGACGCUUCGACCGCGACCCCAGGUCAGGCGGGACUACCCGCUGAGUUUAAGCAUAUCAAUAAGCGGAGGA